rnacentral:rRNA from 1 species
GACAGAGGGGGCAAGCGUUGCUCGGAAUUACUGGGCGUCAAGGGCGCGUAGGCGGGAUGGCAAGUCGGUCGUGAAAUCCCUCGGCUCAACCGAGGAACGUCGAUCGAUACUGCUGUUCUUGAGGAUUGCAGAGGAGACUGGAAUUCCCGGUGUAGCGGUGAAAUGUGUAGAGAUCGGGAGGAACACCGAUGGCGAAGGCGGGUCUCUGGAACGUCCCUGACGUUGAGGCGCGAAAGCGUGGGGAGCAAACAGG